GGUUCUAUAGUGUAGCGGUUAUCACUCCGGAUUCUGAUUUGUACCCUUCAGGACAUUCCGGCAACCCCGGUUCGAUUCCGGGUAGGACCU